rnacentral:lncRNA from 7 species
UUAACGUAUCUUUAAUUAUCAGAGGUAAGGACAAGAAGAUUCUAGUGUAUAAACUUAGGGGGACCGUGUGCCAUGUUUUACACAAAAAACUGUUUUCUCAUUACCUGUAUCACUAUGGCCAUCUAGAAACAACAGAAUUGAAGGUAAGCUUUGCCUGCUUAUGAAGCUAUUAGGACACAUACACAAAGACUAGUCCCCAAGCAAAAGAGCUUAACCCAGGCAUCAGAAAAAAGCUGCAAGAAAUUGUCAAAAAUACAAAUGAGGGCAAUAGGCCAAUAAGGUGAAAGUGAGAAUAUGAAUUCAGUACAUGAAAAAUAGUGUGGCAGACAAACAGAAGACACAGCCCUUCAUCAAAUUCAACAUAAAUUCAAGUUUCUGACAUACAGAGGUAUUAUCAUCUCAAAUAACAUCCUUCAUUACAGCUAAAAGGAACAUUCUGAUAAACAGAGGUUAUAUGAUGUGCAACCAGAAAGCUGAGAACGAGCAGCACACUUGACAUUGACAAAACUCACUAACACUCCCCAUGUCAUAAAAAGUAGUAGAAAUUGAGUUACAGAGUCUCAGUUCUGCCACUUCUAAUCCCACAAGGCUGCACCUGCAUCAUCAGAAGUGCCUGAGAUAAAACAAUUGGUUGAGACACCACUACAGCUGCUGAAGUUCCAAAGAGAAAUUGGGAUGCUUCUCAGAGCCCAAUGUAACGUGAAAGGUGGUUUGCCUCUGUUCAAUAGAGACUAAACUGUCAUGGACUUCAGCCUCUGUUUCCCCUAACUUUCCCUUUUCAGCCCUUCUUUUACUAUUAGAACCAAGAAUCCUUCUAGGUAAGACCAAUAGUCUUGAUUUAAAUAAGUGGGAAUUCUAAUACCAGUGAAAUCUCUCUCAAUAUUCCCAAUAGCCUGUGAUGACUAUUUGAGCAUUUUAUGAGCUCCAAAUAGGGACAUCACUACCAAUUGCACCCUGAAUGGAAUGACCUGGGGAAACUUACCUAUGAAAAUUAUCUUUAAAGGAUUGCCAUUAAACUAGUAAUACCCCCAGAGUAGUAAUGCAUAUCCUUGGAAAGCUUUCAAGUUAUUCAGGAAAGCAGACAUUGGCAUUAUUUUGGCAAAAAUGCAUUUGAAAAACAGAAGGGAUAACCCAAGCUAAGUGUUAUUAUGUUAAUGUAUUAAUUUAGAGAGACAGAAGAACUUUUGCAUUCAAACCACUUAUCCCUAAGAAAACUUACACCAUCUAUGACCAGGACUUCAUGAAAUCAGCACUUUGCCUUAUGUAAGAAAUAAAGUAGGAAAAACCACUGUUUGAAUUUACGCAUAAAAGUUUCAGCCCUAACACUGAGUAGUCAAUAGAAUGAAUACCUUACUGUUUUCCAGAUACAUAUUGAUGAUGACUAAUGGUCAGCAUUCUCAAUGAGAAACAGUGCAGUGGCAGAACUCUUUUAGCCAGGGUGGGAGGUUUGUUGCAGGCUGCACGUUCUAUUUUCCUUUCUAUCCACAAAUGCUGAAAUCAUGGAGAAACAACAGAAGGUCAUACAGCAUCUGGAGCUGCAAACUGCAAAAACACCUUUUCUCCUUCCACUCACAUAGUUAUCCAGUAACAAGGUCUGAUGUAAUCCUGGAUUCCAAUCAACAACUUCAUGUUGACUACCUAUAAGG